UACGUAGGGGUCGAGCGUUAUCCGGAAUCACUGGGCGUAAAGCGUGCGUAGGUGGCGUGUUAAGUGAGAUGUUAAAUCGUGUGGCUCAACCAUAUCGAUGCAUCUCAUACUGGCAUGCUAGAGGACAGCAGAGGCAAGUGGAAUUAGUAGAUAUUCGCAAGAACACCAGUGGCGAAGGCGGCUCACUGGCCCGGUACUGACGCUGAGGUGCGAAAGCGUGGGGAGCAAACAGG
rnacentral:rRNA from 1 species